UGGGGAAUAUUGCACAAUGGGCGCAAGCCUGAUGCAGCGACGCCGCGUGAGGGAUGACGGCCUUCGGGUUGUAAACCUCUUUCAGUAGGGAAGAAGCGAAAGUGACGGUACCUGCAGAAGAAGCGCCGGCUAACUACGUGCCAGCAGCCGCGGUAAUACGUAGGGCGCAAGCGUUAUCCGGAAUUAUUGGGCGUAAAGAGCUCGUAGGCGGUUUGUCGCGUCUGCCGUGAAAGUCCGGGGCUCAACUCCGGAUCUGCGGUGGGUACGGGCAGACUAGAGUGAUGUAGGGGAGACUGGAAUUCCUGGUGUAGCGGUGAAAUGCGCAGAUAUCAGGAGGAACACCGAUGGCGAAGGCAGGUCUCUGGGCAUUAACUGACGCUGAGGAGCGAAAGCAUGGGGAGCGAACAG
rnacentral:rRNA from 1 species